UACGUAGGAGGCAAGCGUUGUCCGGAAUUACUGGGCGUAAAGCGCGUGUAGGUGGUGGGACAAGUCUGCUGUGAAAGCGCCUGGCUUAACCGGGCGAGGUCGGCGGAAACUGUUCGACUCGAGGACGGUAGAGGGGGGUGGAAUUCCCGGUGUAGUGGUGAAAUGCGUAGAUAUCGGGAGGAACACCAGUGGCGAAGGCGACUACCUGCCUGUUCUUGACGCUGAGGCGCGAAAGCUAGGGGAGCAAACGGGG
rnacentral:rRNA from 1 species